AUUGAACGCUAGCGGGAUGCCUUACACAUGCAAGUCGAACGGAGUGGCGAACGGGUGAGUAAUGUAUCGGAACGUGCCCAGUAGCGGGGGAUAACUACGCGAAAGCGUAGCUAAUACCGCAUACUAUUGGAGCGGCCGAUAGCGGAUUAGCUAGUGGGCGGGGCAACGGCUCACCAAGGCGACGAUCCGUAGCUGGUUCGAGAGGACGACCAGCCACAAUGGGACUGAGACACGGCCCAGACUCCUACGGGAGGCAGCAGUGGGGAAUUUUGGACAAUGGGGGAAACCCUGAUGCAGCCAGCCCGCGUGUGGGAAGAAGGCCUUCGGGUUGUAAAGCACUUUUAGCAGGGAAGCGGUACCUGCAGAAUAAGCACCGGCUAACUACGUGCCAGCAGCCGCGGUAAUAC
rnacentral:rRNA from 1 species